GGGGCCUUAGGGUAGUUUGGUUAUCCUUUGAGCUUUGGGAGCUUAGGACCCCGGUUCAAAUCCGGGAGGCCCCACCA
rnacentral:tRNA from 1 species